rnacentral:rRNA from 1 species
CCUACGGGAGGCUGCAGUGGGGAAUAUUGGACAGUGGGCGAAAGCCUGAUCCAGCCAUGCCGCGUGUGUGAAGAAGGCCUUCGGGUUGUAAAGCACUUUCAGUGGGGAAGAAAGCCUUGGGGCUAAUACCCUCGAGGAAGGACAUCACCCACAGAAGAAGCACCGGCUAACUCCGUGCCAGCAGCCGCGGUAAUACGGAGGGUGCGAGCGUUAAUCGGAAUUACUGGGCGUAAAGCGCGCGUAGGCGGUCUGAUAAGCCGGUUGUGAAAGCCCCGGGCUCAACCUGGGAACGGCAUCCGGAACUGUCAGGCUAGAGUGCAGGAGAGGAAGGUAGAAUUCCCGGUGUAGCGGUGAAAUGCGUAGAGAUCGGGAGGAAUACCAGUGGCGAAGGCGGCCUUCUGGACUGACACUGACGCUGAGGUGCGAAAGCGUGGGUAGCAAACAGGAUUAGAUACCCGUGUAGUC